rnacentral:lncRNA from 1 species
AGAAACGUGAUCGUGUGCCCACUCGCUGGUGUCGCUGGUCUAUAUAGAAUAGCUCAAUAGACACUCCAUGCUGUUUAGCAGAUUUGUGGCUGGAGCCAGCUGCCAGCCAUCUUAACCACAAGAUAUGCAAGUUUUGCUUGUGCUGAACCUGUCAUCACCAAAAAUAUCAGUGUCAUCCUUUGGAUAAACAGCAUCCAUCUUUGAUUGAAGAAACUACCGAUCAAGUUACGGAUCUCUCCUUCCCCUUUCUCGAGUGUGGGUGCAGUCACGAGGACACCCUUAUUCCUAUACUUCGUCUAGUGGAUUCAACUAGUCUUCGGAUGGAUGGAGAGCCUUGCUGAAUUCCCCAGGCUUAAAGGUAGGAAACGUUCAUCUCUUUUUUUCCCUUUUGACUGUUUGUGGCGUUGAUUACGGCGGUUAUGAAUCGUGACAUAGUGCGGAGUACCAUUAUUCGUGAGCAAGGCGUUUGAAUGGAACUGUUUUUCUCUUGGCGUUUUUUGUUGACUCAGUUAGAGACUUAGAGUUCAUUAAACAACUCAUUUGUAGAACUACUGUAGAUCAGGCUUGUUUUUUUACCUCACAACUUUGUCUGUGGGCAAACAAUCAAAUUC